UGUUUGUGUGGCGCGGAGAAGCUGGGCUGUCGACAGCGCUAAACCUAGCCGCGUACUAGCUUCCCGUGAGAUACUACACGAAGCUGAGUGAUAUUCGCUGCUCGGCCGCCGAGCCGGACGGACGUGUGGCGGCAGCGCUGGGAGGGCUGGCGUAAACAGCGGCUGUGUGGCUGUUACGAAGACUUCCAGCCACUAUGGCGGGGAGGCCCACCCCUGGCACUCACAGUCAUCCCCACAGCUACCACGGCCGGACUCCUGUUGUUGCAGCACCACCGACGACUCCAUGUCACACUACUCCACCUGAUGAAGCUGCCAUCGCUCGCAUGCGCCUGGUGUCAUCUCGACAGAGUGCCUGUGAGGACCACCACACAACCCACUGCACAGCAACUCUGUUCAGCAUGUGCCGCUGCCAACUGCGCUCUCAUUGUCUCAGAGGCCAGCCUUCUUAACUAUGGCUCAAACAAACUGUACAGCUCAUGGAGUAAUGUUAAGAAUGUAUGCAUACAGUUGGAUCACAAAACUAAAUACGUCACACAAGAUGUGAAUGCUACACCAUUCGAAAAGAAUAGAAACCAGUGGUCCAAAUAAGAUUUUACGAAAUUACUAUGGAGACAGACACAACAUCACAGUUUUGCUUAAUUAUUUAAGAAAGCACAACGACCAACAGCCUUAAUUUCCAAAGAGGAUUUUGCAACUGACUGCCAAGUAGUAACAACAGCCUACUUCAUGAGUAGUGACAUAACAGCAAUGUAGCAGCAGCCUGUUAAGAACUCAGAAACUUGAGCUGCAGAAUUCAGAGAUAGUCAGGGGGACUUCUAUGGGAUGGGUUUAGUGUAAAACAGUUGAAGAAAUGACCAGUAACAGCAAUACACUCAUAAGUUAAAUCUCCAUCCUUGUAAUAUUGUCGUAUAUGCUCUUCUUCAUCAGACUGCUGCUGGCCAAACAAUUGUUGUAGCACUUGAGGCAAGAGAGAGACCUUCAACUAUGAAUACAACAAGAGAACAACACAAUUCACACAAAAUGGGACACAGAUGAAGUAACGAAAAUCACAAAAGUACAUGACAAAAAGUGCUUUAAUUUGGCCCAUAAAGCAAAUGAAGAGUAGCAGCUGGGAGACUGAAGUAAAGCUACACUCUAAGUCGACACUAGUUGCAUGCGGCUGUUGGCAAAUGUCGUGACCACCCAAUGUGCCCACUGGAAGACCUGCCACUGGAAACUAUCAAGCAGCACGAGCAGUGCCCCAUGCAGCUGCUGGACGAUAUGGUGCAGAGGUAGUGCCACAUAGCCGUAAAUAGCCAUCUAGCCCACAUGCAGAUGGCAAACAUCAGCCUGUGCCUCGUGGUCUGAAUGGCAGUCAACUCAUUCAGCAUUUGUCAGGAUGUUCCUUUAGGUAUGAUACAAUCCAUGCAUGAUGAAGAUGGGUAUAAUACAGAGCCUGUGUUGUGAGAUCAUGUAUUGUAUGGCAGGUGCACCUGAGUUAUCUACGUUGGUACUGAUUGAUACUGCCCUCACACUUCUCAGCUGUAAGUGGCUAAAUUCAUUCUGCUACCAAAUGUAUACAUUCAUUCGACAUCUAGUUUCCUAACGAUCUACUACUGCCUUCUGAAUCCUAUCCUCAGGUGCUCUAUGCGCCAAUACCUUGGAGUAUAGUAUGUGCAGGAAGUAUUGCUUUGGAAGAAAUGUGCAGAUAUUACCUGAUCCACAGUUGGAUAAUAUUCCUUGUGGGGAAUUCACUGUCGAUAGCCUUUGGUUUGGUAUGUCUGCCGCUGAUGGGAUUCUACAUAAUAAGAAAUCAUUCAUUAGGCCAUUUUCAUAAUAAAGACACUCCAUCAUUUUUCAUGCAAUAAGCGUUAACAAUUAUUUACAAGACGUACGGACAAUGUCAGUCUGCUUUAUAUAUUCAUAUAUACUGUGUACAACCUAUCACAUGAUACCUAAUUGCGUUUGUAGAUCACGGCAAAGUAUGUGGAUGAGUGCUUGUAACGUGCGAAAUUAUAGCCACCUUACACUAAUAACAGUUACACUCAAGAAUUGAACCAGUGCUGAAAUGUCAAUGCAGGAAGUGGAGGACUAAAGAUGUACCUGUGGGGCCUCUGUUUUGACUGGCAUGUAAAAACCACAAAUAAAGAUAAAU